rnacentral:rRNA from 1 species
UGCCAGCCGCCGCGGUAAUACGGAGCGUGCAAGCGUUGUUCGGAAUUAUUGGGCGUAAAGCGCGUGUAGGCGGUUCGUUAAGUCUGAUGUGAAAGCCCGGGGCUCAACCCCGGAAGUGCAUUGGAAACUGGCGAACUUGAGUACGGGAGAGGAAAGUGGAAUUCCGAGUGUAGGGGUGAAAUCCGUAGAUAUUCGGAGGAACACCAGUGGCGAAGGCGGCUUUCUGGACCGAUACGGACGCUGCGACGCAACAGCGGGGGGAUCAAACAUGCGUAGAUA